GAAGCAAAGCCGCGAGGUAGAGCAAAUCUCAAAAAAACAAUCUCAGUUCAGACUGCAGGCUGCAACUUGCCUGCACGAAGUCGGAAUUGCUAGUAAUCGUAGGUCAGCAUACUACGGUGAAUACGUUCCCGGGCCUUGUACACACCGCCCGUCAAACCAUGAGAGUUGGCAACACCCGAAGUCGGUAGUCUAACCGCAAGGAGGACGCCGCCGAAGGUGGGGUUGAUGAUUAGGGUUAAGUCGUAACAAGGUAUC
rnacentral:rRNA from 1 species